AAUUUCAUAAUAUUGAUAGAUUUUAUAACACUUUCUUUUAUAAUCUGACUAAUGAUAUUUCAAUAUUACAUUUUUGUCAAUUUUGUAAGAGGCUGUGAAGAGUGAUGACAUGUAACCAAGAAACUUUACUCACAAUCAAUCGUAUAUGCUAUUUCAGAGGUAUUUUAAAAGGAGCGAGUAGAGAAACCCAAAGUUUGUAAUGCAACAAGAGAAGAUAUACUAAGGUUGAUUUUCUUUGUCCAAAACAGUCAAUCUAUAUAAACCUGAAUUUUGAUUGACUCAAAAUAAAUUUGAUAUUUUUGAAGUGAGAUUAAGAAAAAAUCAAGAAGACUAAUGGUGAGUAGAAGGAAAAAAAUACAAUUGAGUAUGCUUCGAAACAACAUAAAUGUUAAGUGGUAGUGGAAGCAGACGCUUGAAUUGUAUAAUAGAAUAAUUCAUCUCUAUUCACUUAUCUCUUACAAUAUAAUUCAUCUUCAUUCCUACAUCUAUUUCUUAAACUGUAAGAAAAAUUACAUAAUAAAUUAUUUGUUAUACAUUUCUCAAAUAAAUUAUGCUUUUACAAGUAGCAUAAAAUGAUU
rnacentral:lncRNA from 1 species